rnacentral:rRNA from 1 species
CUAGAGUUGUAGGCUUUGCCUGCUAUCUCUUACCCAUGUCUUUUAAGUACCUUCGUUUCCUCGGCGGGUUCGCCCGCCGAUUGGACAAUUUAAACCAUUUGCAGUUGCAAUCAGCGUCUGAAAAAACUUAAUAGUUACAACUUUCAACAACGGAUCUCUUGGUUCUGGCAUCGAUGAAGAACGCAGCGAAAUGCGAUAAGUAAUGUGAAUUGCAGAAUUCAGUGAAUCAUCGAAUCUUUGAACGCACAUUGCGCCCCCUGGUAUUCCGGGGGGCAUGCCUGUUCGAGCGUCAUUUCACCACUCAAGCCUCGCUUGGUAUUGGGCAACGCGGUCCGCCGCGUGCCGCAAAUCGACCGGCUGGGUCUUCUGUCCCCUAAGCGUUGUGGAAACUAUUCGCUAAAGGGUGUUCGGGAGGCUACGCCGUAAAACAACCCCAUUUCUAAGGUUGACCUCGGAUCAGGUAGGGAUACCCGCUGAACUUAAGCAUAUCAAUAAGCGGAGGA